rnacentral:rRNA from 1 species
GACGAACGCUGGCGGCGUGCUUAACACAUGCAAGUCGAGCGGAGCGGCGAACGGGUGAGUAACGCGUGAGUAACUGCCCCCCUCUCUGGGGUAACAGUUGGAAACGGCUGCUAAUACCGGAUAGUGGGGGAUGACUCGGGUCUAAUGAGCUUGUUGGUGGGGUAGGGGCCUACCAAGGCGACGACGGGUAGCCGGCCUGAGAGGGCGACCGGCCCCAUUGGGCUGAGAUACGGACCAGACUGCUACGGGGGGCAGCAGUGGGGAAUAUUGCACAAUGGGGGAAACCCUGAGGCAGCAACGCCGGGUGCGGGAUGACGGCUUUCGGGUUGGAAACCGCUUUCAGCCAUUACGCGGUAGUGGCAGAAGAAGCACCGGCUAACUACGUGCCAGCAGCCGCGGUAAUAC